UCCUGGCUGCGGUGCGGUGCCUGCCGCCACACACCUGUCCUCCAACAGCAAUUCGAGUCGCUGCACCUCAGCCUCCCCAAACCACUUACAGGGGACACGGUACGAAGACCGGUGGCUGUGCCUCUGGCUCUUGCUUCCAGAUAAAGUCCCUUCUGGGACAGUGAGUCCUGGUCAUCGCUGCUGUCUGGCCACACCUCCAAGUCACGCUGGCUUCCCUUCAACCUGCCAAAGCAAAGAAGCGUUACGCCCAGUGUCCUGGCCACAGGUCACAUCUGCCCCUCCCCACCUCCCCUGAAACCAUCCACAGCUCCUAGGAGGGUCUCAAACUAGUCAUCGGGCCGUCCCGGCAGAGGCCCCGUCACAGGCUGGCGUGCCCAGGGCGGGCCUGCACCUUGCAGAUGGGCCAGGCCACGUCCCACCCUUGAGCAGAGCCAGCUGCCCAAUUGGGAUGGAGCUUAGAGGACCAUGUGGGCUCUGGGAAAAACUCAUGGCAGCAACAGACAUCAGAGAAAGCUAGUUGGGAGCCUGAGGGACGGAGGUCUGGAAAAGACUGUCAAUUGAUGAACAAAAAUCCCAAAAGGCAGGGAGUUCGGUGGUCUCCAAUCCUGCUUACGGAUCAAACCUACUCCUGUGGCGUGACCGCCCAGGCCGCUCGCCGGGCUGCAGGCGGGGAAGGGCUAACGGCCCAGAUCUGACUCUGGUUCGAGCUUGAUUAAAAAAAUUAAAAUUAAAAAAAAAAAAAAAAAAAAAGUAAA